AGGUGCUGUAGGUUGGGGGUGUCAGUGGGCUAGGGUGUGAGGGUGUCUGAGGUGCUGUAGGUGGGGUGUCCAGUGGGCUAGGGUGUAUAGGUGCUGUAGGUAGGGGGUGUCAGUGGGCUAGGGUGUAUAGGUUUCUGAGGUGCUGUAGGUAGGGGUGUCAGUGGGCUAGGGUGUGGGGGUGCUGUAGGUAGGGGUGUCAGUGGGCUAGGGUGUCUGAGGUGCUGUAGGUAGGGGGUGUCAGUGGGCUAGGGUGUCCUAGGUUGC